GGGGAUUUAGCUCAGCGGUAGAGCGAUUGCCUAGCAAGCGCAAGGCCCUGGGUUCAGUCCCCAGCUCUCCA
rfam:Rattus norvegicus chromosome 7, whole genome shotgun sequence.